AUUGAACGCUGGCGGCAGGCCUAACACAUGCAAGUCGAGCGGAGCGGCGGACGGGUGAGUAAUGCGUAGGAACCUGCCUCUCACAACGGGAUAGCCUCGGGAAACCGGGAUUAAUACCGUUGCGUGAGAGAUGGCCUCGCGUCUGAUUAGUUAGUUGGUGGGGUAACGGCCUACCAAGGCGACGAUCCGUAACUGGUCUGAGAGGAUGAUCAGUCACACUGGAACUGAGACACGGUCCAGACUCCUACGGGAGGCAGCAGUGGGGAAUAUUGGACAAUGGGCGAAAGCCUGAUCCAGCCAUGCCGCGUGUGUGAAGAAGGUCUUCGGAUUGUAAAGCACUUUAAGUUGGGAGGCGUUACCAACAGAAUAAGCACCGGCUAACUUCGUGCCAGCCGCCGCGGUAAUUC
rnacentral:rRNA from 1 species